CUCUGCAUCCCUAGAGGAAGAGAGCCCGCCUGGGCGCCCCUGAGCCGCUCCCCAGGGGAGAGAGGAGAUCUCUGUUUACUCAAGACCGAAAGCAGCCGGAUUCAAGGUAUUCCAGACAACUCAGGCCCAUCUGCUACACUUGAUGGAAGAAGGGAUCGUGUAUCUUCUGCAAAGGAGAGCCAGAGAGAGUGCUGCUGGAGACGGGUAACUCAGCAGCAACAUCUCACAGAAACACAGGCAGGAAGGAAUGAUCCACUGGAUGAUGUCGCCCACUUGAAAGAACGUUCUGAUUUAGGAAUACAGCAAGACUGAAGUCCACGUGAAAACGACGUCCUCCCCUGCAAAACAGCCUGGAGUUUCAAGGUAAGAAGUUAAGUUUGGUGGCCAAGGUCCCUAGUAUCUGAGAGGACUCAGUGGUAGAGCACCAGCCUAGCAUGCAGAAGGCCUGGGUUGUAGUUCCAACCCUUGACCAAAGGGGAAAACUCUGUAAUCAAAACUACUAAUGCUUCUCUCGCUAUCAAAAAGCAAGUGUUAAUAGCCUUAAAGUCUUUUAGAUAUUGUAAAAUCUUCUAAGUGUUUCAUUAUUAUAGUGUUACUGAGAAAUAACACUAGUCCUUGUAUCUGUCCCUCCUCGACAACUAC
rnacentral:lncRNA from 1 species